rnacentral:rRNA from 1 species
AGUGAACGCUGGCGGUAGGCCUAACACAUGCAAGUCGAACGGCAGCACAGUAAGAGCUUGCUCUUACGGGUGGCGAGUGGCGGACGGGUGAGGAAUACAUCGGAAUCUACUUUUUCGUGGGGGAUAACGUAGGGAAACUUACGCUAAUACCGCAUACGACCUACGGGUGAAAGCAGGGGUUCUUUGGAUCUUGCGCGAUUGAAUGAGCCCAUGUCGGAUUGGCUAGUUGGCGGGGUAAAGGCCCACCAAGGCGACGAUCCGUAGCUGGUCUGAGAGGAUGAUCCGCCACACUGGAACUGAGACACGGUCCAGACUCCUACGGGAGGCAGCAGUGGGGAAUAUUGGACAAUGGGCGCAAGCCUGAUCCAGCCAUACCGCGUGGGUGAAGAAGGCCUUCGUGUUGUAAAGCCCUUUUGUUGGGAAAGAAAAGCAGCAGGUUAAUACCCCGCUGUUCUGACGGUACCCAAAUAAUAAGCACCGGCUAACUUCGUG